GCCUGGCUGGCUCAGUUGGCAGAGAAUGCGACUCUUGAUCUCAGAGUCGUGAGUUCAAGCCCCAUGUCAAGCG
rnacentral:tRNA from 1 species